rnacentral:rRNA from 1 species
CAAUAGCGUAUAUUAAAGUUGUUGCAGUUAGAACGCUCGUAGUCGGAUUUCGGGGCGUUCCGACCGGUCUGCCGAUGGGUAUGCACUGGCCGGAGUGUCCUUUUUGCCGGAGACCGUGCCUACUCUUAACUGAGCGGGGGCGGGAGACGGCACUUUUACUUUGAAAAAAUCAGAGUGUUUCAAGCAGGCAGCUCGCUCUUGCAUGGAUUAGCAUGGGAUAAUGAAAUAGGACUUUGGUGCUAUUUUGUUGGUUUCGAACACCGAAGUAAUGAUGAGAAGGGACAGUCAGGGGCACUCGUAUUCCGCAGAGAGAGGUGAAAUUCUCAGACCCACGGAAGACGAACCACUGCGAAAGCAUUUGCCAGGGAUGUUUUCACUGA